GUUUGAUCAUGGCUCAGGAUUAACGCUGGCGGCAUGCCUAAUACAUGCAAGUCGAACGAAAUUUCUUUUUUAAGAAAUUGAGUGGCGAACGGGUGAGUAAUGUAUGUUCAAUCUGCCUCAAAGUGGGGAAUAACUGUUGGAAACGACAGCUAAUACCCCAUAGGGUAAUACAAGGCAUCUUGUAUUGCUUAAAGGUGCAUUUUGCAUCGCUAUGAGAUGAGAACAUAUCACAUUAGCUUGUUGGUGGGGUAAUGGCCCACCAAGGCAAUGAUGUGUAGCCGGACUGAGAGGUUGAACGGCCACAAUGGGACUGAGACACGGCCCAUACUCCUACGGGAGGCAGCAGUAGGGAAUAUUUCACAAUGGACGAAAGUCUGAUGAAGCAAUGCCGCGUGAAGGAAGAAGGUUUUCGAAUCGUAAACUUCUGUUAUAAGGGAAGAAAAUCUAAAAUAGGAAAUGAUUUUAGCUUGACGGUACUUUAUUAGAAAGUCACGGCAAACUAUGUGCCAGCAGCCGCGGUAAUACAUAGGUGGCGAGCGUUAUCCGGAUUUAUUGGGCGUAAAGAGUGCACAGGUUGUUUAUUAAGUCAAUUGUUAAAUACCGAAGCUUAACUUCGGUCCGCAGUUGAAACUAGUAAACUAGAAUGCAGGUGGGGACAGUGGAAUUCCAUGUGUAGCGGUGGAAUGCAUAAAUAUAUGGAGGAACACCAGUGGCGAAGGCGGCUGUCUGAACUGUAAUUGACACUUAAGCACGAAAGCGUGGGGAGCAAAUAGGAUUAGAUACCCUAGUAGUCCACGCUGUAAACGAUCUAGACUAGUUGUUGCCAAAAAGGCAGUAACGCAGCUAACGCAUUAAGUCUAGCGCCUGGGUAGUAUGCACGCAAGUGUGAAACUCAAAGGAAUUGACGGGGACCCGCACAAGUGGUGGAGCAUGUGGUUUAAUUCGAUGAUACGCGAAGAACCUUACCUACGUUUGACAUACUUGGCAAAACUAUAGAGAUAUAGUGGAGGUUAACCAAUGUACAGGUGGUGCAUGGUUGUCGUCAGCUCGUGUCGUGAGAUGUUCGGUUAAGUCCGGUAACGAGCGCAACCCCUUUCUUAUGUUACUAACAAGUAAUGUUGAGGACUCAUGAGAUACUGCCUGGGUAACCAGGAGGAAGGUGGGGAUGACGUCAAAUCAUCAUGCCCCUUAUACGUAGGGCUACACACGUGCUACAAUGGCUGUUACAAAGGGCUGCCAAACCGUAAGGUGGAGCCAAUCUCAAAAAAACAGUCUCAGUUCGGAUUGAAGUCUGCAAUUUGACUUUAUGAAGCUGGAAUCACUAGUAAUCGCAGGUCAGCAAUACUGCGGUGAAUACGUUCUCGGGUCUUGUACACACCGCCCGUCAAACCACGAAAGUCGGUAAUGCCUGAAACCGCUGUUCUAACCUUUAAUGAAAUUCGUUUCUUUAGAGGAGGAAGGCGUCUAGGGUAGGAUUGGUGAUUGGGGUUAAGUCGUAACAAGGUAACC
rnacentral:rRNA from 1 species